AAAAAGUUUGGUUCUAACUUUAUUUUUAGUUAUAAUUUAACUGCCACAUGUAAGCUAAAAUAGCGAACCAGUAAUUUAAAAACUAAUACUAAAAAGUAUUAAAACAAAGAAAAGAAAAAUCCUAAAUUAAAAAAAAAAUUACGAUCAUCAGUGCUUAACAUUAUAAAAUCUAAGAAAUUAGGAUAUAGUUAAAAUUAAAUAAAGGUGGUAAAAAACGUGCCAGCAACCGCGGUUACACGUUUUUACCUUAAACUAAAAAAACCGGUAAAAGGAGAGAAGGUUAAAAAUACUUUAUAAAAUUAAAUAAGCAGUAAUAAGCGAAAUUAAAAAAAAUAAAAAGAAAAACCCACUCAAAAAAAUAAAAAAUAAACUGGGAUUAGAUACCCCACUAUACUUUAAUAAAACCUCCACAACACCAGAGAAGUAUAACCCCAAAAAGAAACUCAAAGAACUUGGCGGUUUUCUAAAUCUCCUUGGAGGAGCUUGUUGUCAAAUCGAUAAUCCACGAGAAACCCCACCAGUUUUAGCCAAUAGAACAGCCUGUAUAUUUUCGUCGUCAGCUAACCUUUCAAGAACGUUAACAAAAAGGAAAAUUCCAAAACGCCAGAUCAAGAUGCAGCCAAUAAACUGGGGAUUAAUGAGCUACCUUACUUUAUAAUUGAGGAAAUUUUCAUGAAAAAAAAAAAGAAAAAGGAUUCAACAGUAAUUUUUUAAAGAAAUAAUAAAUGAAACAAGCUCUAGAAUACGUACACAUCGCCCGUCACUCUCCUCAAAAGAAGAGAAAAGUCGUAACAAAGUAGGUGUACCGGAAGGUGUACCUAGACAAAU
rnacentral:ncRNA from 1 species